rnacentral:rRNA from 1 species
GUGGGGAAUAUUGGACAAUGGGCGAAAGCCUGAUCCAGCCAUGCCGCGUGUGUGAAGAAGGCCUUUUGGUUGUAAAGCACUUUAAGCGAGGAGGAGGCUACCGAGAUUAAUACUCUUGGAUAGUGGACGUUACUCGCAGAAUAAGCACCGGCUAACUCUGUGCCAGCAGCCGCGGUAAUACAGAGGGUGCGAGCGUUAAUCGGAUUUACUGGGCGUAAAGCGUGCGUAGGCGGCUUUUUAAGUCGGAUGUGAAAUCCCUGAGCUUAACUUAGGAAUUGCAUUCGAUACUGGGAAGCUAGAGUAUGGGAGAGGAUGGUAGAAUUCCAGGUGUAGCGGUGAAAUGCGUAGAGAUCUGGAGGAAUACCGAUGGCGAAGGCAGCCAUCUGGCCUAAUACUGACGCUGAGGUACGAAAGCAUGGGGAGCAAACAGGAUUAGAAACCCGAGUAGUCC